GAUGAACGCUAGCGGGAGGCCUAAUACAUGCAAGUCGAACGGUAAGGCUCCUUCGGGAGUACACGAGUGGCGGACGGGUGCGUAACGCGUACGAAAUAUACCUUUAACAGGGGGAUACCUCCGGGAAACUGGAAAUAAUACCCCAUAGUAUUACGAUAUCGCAUGAUAUUGUAAUUAAAGCUCCGGCGGUUAGAGAUUAUCGUGCGUCUGAUUAGUUAGUUGGUGAGGUAACGGCUCACCAAGGCAACGAUCAGUAGCUGGUCUGAGAGGAUGAUCAGCCACACUGGAACUGAGACACGGUCCAG
rnacentral:rRNA from 1 species